rnacentral:rRNA from 1 species
GUACACUCCUACGGGAGGCAGCAGUGGGGAAUUUUGGACAAUGGGCGAAAGCCUGAUCCAGCAAUGCCGCGUGAGUGAAGAAGGCCUUCGGGUUGUAAAGCUCUUUUGUCAGGGAAGAAACGGUGAGAGCUAAUAUCUUUUGCUAAUGACGGUACCUGAAGAAUAAGCACCGGCUAACUACGUGCCAGCAGCCGCGGUAAUACGUAGGGUGCAAGCGUUAAUCGGAAUUACUGGGCGUAAAGCGUGCGCAGGCGGUUUUGUAAGUCUGAUGUGAAAUCCCCGGGCUCAACCUGGGAAUUGCAUUGGAGACUGCAAGGCUAGAAUCUGGCAGAGGGGGGUAGAAUUCCACGUGUAGCAGUGAAAUGCGUAGAUAUGUGGAGGAACACCGAUGGCGAAGGCAGCCCCCUGGGUCAAGAUUGACGCUCAUGCACGAAAGCGUUGGGAGCAAACAGGAUUAGAAACCCUUGUAGUCCCA